GACACCAAAUCGAUCAAAGACGUCUGUCUCCCUUUCCUCUUCAAGAAUAGAGUUGCAAUCCUCAGGAAAAGGGGAUUAGCCAAAUUGAUGAAAGUUUCAGGCAUUUUGAAAUUUGUAAUUUGGGAUGGGUUUUUGGAGAUUUUGAUUCAUUUUUCUGCUAAAAAUCAACCUUAAUUCUCCAGAAUAUAUAGCUACUCUUAUUGACUGUUCGAGGAGGUGGGGAGAGAAUCGAAAAAAACAUUAUAAGGAUUAGGAAAAUUUGUUAGAAAAGUGAGCUACUAACCCCCACAUAUAUAUCUAAACAUAUAGAAGUAACACUCACAUACAGUGAGACUGAGCGUGCAGGUUGUUGAUUGAGUUUUUUUAUCGGUGUUCUAUUCACGCGAGUCCAACUGGGCAUCGUUCACAGUCGGAGAAGUUUGCUCGUUUUUUUUCUCACAUUAGCUGCCCAGAAAAAAGGUUGUAGUAGGUCAUGAGUUCAAGUAUGUUGAUAUACAUUCUACUUGUUGGAGUUAGUAACUAUGUUGGUUGAUUGCAUGACUGGAUUGGCUAUGCAUGAGACAAUUAAAAGGGUUCCGAUUGUUGAGGGCUUAUUUGAUACAUCUUGAAAAAGACUUGGAUAUUCUCUAUCAUCUAAGGUGUAGGUCCUCACUUUCCAAGGGCGAUGCCGAUAUCUAGCUUAUGGAGUAACUUUAUAUUCUAAGACUCUUAUGUUCAUUCUACAUUCAUUUGAGUACGAUUUGUAUAAGCCUAUAUGUGGCUUCUUUACAUUGAUGUAGGGCUACGCCAAAAUUGUUGUGAUCUUUUAGAUGGUAUGAGAUGAGACAAUCAUUGAGA